rnacentral:rRNA from 1 species
CACUAUCGUUAACUGAAUACAUAGGUUAACGAGGCGAACCGGGGGAACUGAAACAUCUAAGUACCCCGAGGAAAAGAAAUCAACCGAGAUUCCCCCAGUAGCGGCGAGCGAACGGGGAGCAGCCCAGAGUCUGAAUCAGCUUGUGUGUUAGUGGAACGGUCUGGAAAGUCCGACGGUACAGGGUGAUAGUCCCGUACACCAAAAUGCACAGGUUGUGAACUCGAAGAGUAGGGCGGGACACGUGGUAUCCUGUCUGAAUAUGGGGGGACCAUCCUCCAAGGCUAAAUACUCCUGACUGACCGAUAGUGAACCAGUACCGUGAGGGAAAGGCGAAAAACCCCGGCGAGGGGAGUGAAAAAGAACCUGAAACCGUGUACGUACAAGCAGUGGGAGCACCUUCGGGUGUGACUGCGUACCUUUUGUAUAAUGGGUCAGCGACUUAUAUUCUGUAGCAAGGUUAACCGUAUAGGGGAGCCGCAGGGAAACCGAGUCUUAACUGGGCGUUAAGUUGCAGGGUAUAGACCCGAAACCCGGUGAUCUAGCCAUGGGCAGGUUGAAGGUUGGGUAACACUAACUGGAGGACCGAACCGACUAAUGUUGAAAAAUUAGCGGAUGACUUGUGGCUGGGGGUGAAAGGCCAAUCAAACCGGGAGAUAGCUGGUUCUCCCCGAAAGCUAUUUAGGUAGCGCCUCGUGAAUUCAUCUUCGGGGGUAGAGCACUGUUUCGGCUAGGGGGUCAUCCCGACUUACCAACCCGAUGCAAACUACGAAUACCGAAGAAUGUUAUCACGGGAGACACACGGCGGGUGCUAACGUCCGUCGUGAAGAGGGAAACAACCCAGACCGCCAGCUAAGGUCCCAAAGUCAUGGUUAAGUGGGAAACGAUGUGGGAAGGCACAGACAGCCAGGAUGUUGGCUUAGAAGCAGCCAUCAUUUAAAGAAAGCGUAAUAGCUCACUGGUCGAGUCGGCCUGCGCGGAAGAUGUAACGGGGCUAAACCAUGCACCGAAGCUGCGGCAGCGACACUAUGUGUUGUUGGGUAGGGGAGCGUUCUGUAAGCCUGCGAAGGUGUGCUGUGAGGCAUGCUGGAGGUAUCAGAAGUGCGAAUGCUGACAUAAGUAACGAUAAAGCGGGUGAAAAGCCCGCUCGCCGGAAGACCAAGGGUUCCUGUCCAACGUUAAUCGGGGCAGGGUGAGUCGACCCCUAAGGCGAGGCCGAAAGGCGUAGUCGAUGGGAAACAGGUUAAUAUUCCUGUACUUGGUGUUACUGCGAAGGGGGGACGGAGAAGGCUAUGUUAGCCGGGCGACGGUUGUCCCGGUUUAAGCAUGUAGGCUGGUUGUCCAGGCAAAUCCGGAUAAUCAAGGCUGAGGUGUGAUGACGAGGCACUACGGUGCUGAAGUAACAAAUGCCCUGCUUCCAGGAAAAGCCUCUAAGCAUCAGGUAACAUUAAAUCGUACCCCAAACCGACACAGGUGGUCAGGUAGAGAAUACCAAGGCGCUUGAGAGAACUCGGGUGAAGGAACUAGGCAAAAUGGUGCCGUAACUUCGGGAGAAGGCACGCUGGUGUGUAGGUGAAGUCCCUGCGGAUGGAGCUGAGACCAGUCGAAGAUACCAGCUGGCUGCAACUGUUUAUUAAAAACACAGCACUGUGCAAACACGAAAGUGGACGUAUACGGUGUGACGCCUGCCCGGUGCCGGAAGGUUAAUUGAUGGGGUUAUCCGUAAGGAGAAGCUCUUGAUCGAAGCCCCGGUAAACGGCGGCCGUAACUAUAACGGUCCUAAGGUAGCGAAAUUCCUUGUCGGGUAAGUUCCGACCUGCACGAAUGGCGUAAUGAUGGCCAGGCUGUCUCCACCCGAGACUCAGUGAAAUUGAACUCGCUGGAAGAUGCAGUGUACCCGCGGCAAGACGGAAAGACCCCGUGAACCUUUACUAUAGCUUGACACUGAACAUUGAGCCUUGAUGUGUAGGAUAGGUGGGAGGCUUUGAAGCGUGGACGCCAGUCUGCGUGGAGCCAACCUUGAAAUACCACCCUUUAAUGUUUGAUGUUCUAACGUUGGCCCCUGACCGGGGUUGCGGACAGUGUCUGGUGGGUAGUUUGACUGGGGCGGUCUCCUCCCAAAGCGUAACGGAGGAGCACGAAGGUUAGCUAAUCCUGGUCGGACAUCAGGAGGUUAGUGCAAUGGCAUAAGCUAGCUUGACUGCGAGCGUGACGGCGCGAGCAGGUGCGAAAGCAGGUCAUAGUGAUCCGGUGGUUCUGAAUGGAAGGGCCAUCGCUCAACGGAUAAAAGGUACUCCGGGGAUAACAGGCUGAUACCGCCCAAGAGUUCAUAUCGACGGCGGUGUUUGGCACCUCGAUGUCGGCUCAUCACAUCCUGGGGCUGAAGUAGGUCCCAAGGGUAUGGCUGUUCGCCAUUUAAAGUGGUACGCGAGCUGGGUUUAGAACGUCGUGAGACAGUUCGGUCCCUAUCUGCCGUGGGCGCUGGAGAAUUGAGGGGGGCUGCUCCUAGUACGAGAGGACCGGAGUGGACGCAUCACUGGUGUUCGGGUUGUCAUGCCAAUGGCACUGCCCGGUAGCUAAAUGCGGAAGAGAUAAGUGCUGAAAGCAUCUAAGCACGAAACUUGCCCCGAGAUGAGUUCUCCCUGAGACUUUAAGUCUCCUGAAGGAACGUUGAAGACGACGACGUUGAUAGGCCGGGUGUGUAAGCGCAGCGAUGCGUUGAGCUAACCGGUACUAAUGAACCGUGAGGCUUAACCUUACAACGCCGAAG